rnacentral:rRNA from 1 species
CUGCGGCGUGCCUUACACAUGCAAGUCCGACGUGAAAGGGGAGCAAUCCCCCGGUAGGGUGCAAACGGGUGAGUAAGACAUGGGUGAUCUACCCUGGAGAUGGGGAUAUCCCUCCGAAAGGGGGGGCAAUACCGAAUAGAGUCCGGUUCCGUGAAGGGGACCGGGGAAAGGGAGGCCUCUGGAACAAGCUUCCGCUCCUGGAUGAGCCCAUGGCCCAUCAGCUAGUUGGUAGGGUAAAGGCCUACCAAGGCGACGACGGGUAGCUGGUCUGAGAGGACAACCAGCCACACUGGCACUGAGACACGGGCCAGACUCCUACGGGAGGCAGCAGUGAGGAAUAUUGCGCAAUGGGGGCAACCCUGACGCAGCAACGCCAGCAGUGUGGGAAGAAGGCUUUCGGGUUGUAAACCACUUUUGCCCGGGACGAAAAGGGGCGUCAGAAUACGGCGCUUCGAUGACGGUACCGGGAGAAUAAGCCACGGCUAACUCUGUGCCAGCAGCCGCGGUAAGACAGAGGUGGCAAGCGUUGUUCGGAGUUACUGGGCGUAAAGAGUCUGUAGGUGGUUUGUCAAGUCUUUGGUGAAAGGCCGUGGCUUAACCAUGGGAAUGCCAAAGAGACUGGCAGA